GAAUUCAACUCCUACGGGAGGCAGCAGUGGGGAAUUUCGGACAAUGGGGGCAACCCUGAUCCAGCCAUGCCGCGUGCGGGAAGAAGGCCUUCGGGUUGUAAACCGCUUUUGUCAGGGAAGAAACGCUCCGGGCUAAUACCACGGAGUAAUGACGGUACCUGAAGAAUAAGCACCGGCUAACUACGUGCCAGCAGCCGCGGUAAUACGUAGGGUGCAAGCGUUAAUCGGAAUUACUGGGCGUAAAGCGUGCGCAGGCGGCUUUGCAAGACAGAUGUGAAAUCCCCGGGCUUAACCUGGGAACUGCAUUUGUGACUGCAUUGCUGGAGUGCGGCAGAGGGGGAUGGAAUUCCGCGUGUAGCAGUGAAAUGCGUAGAUAUGCGGAGGAACACCGAUGGCGAAGGCAAUCCCCUGGGCCUGCACUGACGCUCAUGCACGAAAGCGUGGGGAGCAAACAGGAUUAGAAACCCUAGUAGUCCAGGCGUU
rnacentral:rRNA from 1 species